UACGUAGGGUGCAAGCGUUAAUCGGAAUUACUGGGCGUAAAGCGUGCGCAGGCGGUUGUGCAAGACAGAUGUGAAAUCCCCGGGCUUAACCUGGGAACUGCAUUUGUGACUGCACGGCUGGAGUGCGGCAGAGGGGGAUGGAAUUCCACGUGUAGCAGUGAAAUGCGUAGAUAUGCGGAGGAACACCGAUGGCGAAGGCAAUCCCCUGGGCCUGCACUGGACGCUCAUGCACGAAAGCGUGGGGAGCAAACAGGAU
rnacentral:rRNA from 1 species